AGGGUUUGAUCCUGGCUCAGAACGAACGCUGGCGGCGUGGAUUAGGCAUGCAAGUCGAACGAGAAAGCUCCCUUCGGGGGGUGAGUACAGUGGCGGACGGGUGAGUAACACGUGGGAAACCUGCAUCCGACUGGGGGAUAACAGCUCUAACGGGCUGCUAAUACCGCAUAACGCCACGGGUCGCAUGGCCCGUGGUUAAAGGUGGCCUCUACAUGUAAGCUACCGGUUGGUUAUGGUCCCGCGUCCUAUUAGCUUGUUGGUGGGGUAACGGCCUACCAAGGCAUCGAUGGGUAGCCGGCUUGAGAGAGUGGUCGGCCACACUGGGACUGAGAUACGGCCCAGACUCCUACGGGAGGCAGCAGUCGAGAGGCUUCGGCAAUGGGGGAAACCCUGACCGAGCGACGUCGCGUGGGUGAUGAAGAUCUUCGGAUCGUAAAACCCUGUCAGGUGGGAAGAAACAUCAUUCGGCUAAUACCUGAGUGACUUGACGGUACCACCAGAGGAAGCUCCGGCUAACUCCGUGCCAGCAGCCGCGGUAACACGGGGGGAGCAAGCGUUGUUCGGAUUCAUUGGGCGUUAAAGAGCUCGUUANGCGGCUUCGUAAGUCAGGGGUGAAAGCCAUUGGCUCAACC
rnacentral:rRNA from 1 species